rnacentral:rRNA from 1 species
CGGGACGGGGUGAGUAAUGUCUGGGAAACUGCCCGAUGGAGGGGGAUAACUACUGGAAACGGUAGCUAAUACCGCAUAACGUCGCAAGACCAAAGAGGGGGACCUUAGGGCCUCUUGCCAUCGGAUGUGCCCAUAUGGGAUUAGCUAGUAGGUAAGGUAACGGCUUACCUAGGCGACGAUCCCUAGCUGGUCUGAGAGGAUGAUCAGCCACACUGGGACUGAGACACGGCCCAG